rnacentral:lncRNA from 1 species
CUGGACUUGCAUAUUCCCCAUUCCCUUCAAUUCACAAGACAUUCUACUUUUUUUUUUUUUUUUCAGAGUAGCCUCUCUUAUAAAUGACGAGUUUGGUGUGAUUGAGAACUGCCCAGCAGCACAGCCACGCUCUCUUCCUGUGACACAGAGCACAUAAAUAAGUUACAGCUGCCCCAUCUUGGGUAUACAGAGGAAUUCAAAACUGAAGAAAGCUGUGAACUGACAAAGGUCUCUUGUCCACUCUGCAGGCUUUUGUAUACAUCAGGGGAAAGAGGAGAGAUAUUUUACAACAAACCAGAAGUGUCCUAAAUUAAGGUACUUCCAUGAAGAGGAUCUCUGUUUAAUUCAUACUGUUUAAUUCAUAAUGCUGAUCAUUGAUCAAUAAUAAUUUGCUUAAAAUUUCUCAGACAAUUUAAAGACAAAGUGAUAACAGUGAAUAGACAGACAAAAAUGUAAUUUGUGACAUACCUCUUAUCUACUUAUUCUUCUCUUUCAAUUUCUGAAAUUAAAGCAGUUGAAAAUAAUACAUACUGACAUGUAAAAAGAGCUGACUGCAUGUUGCCUAAAUAAUUUGCUAUAAAAAUACCACUUACCAUUGACAUUGCCAAGUAUCUUCUUAUUUUAAUCUGCUAUUAUCAUGCCUUCUUGGAUAUGAAAUACACAGCAGAGUCCAUUCCCAGUGUGUUAAAUACUUGAGAAAAUAAUAAAUGCAGCGUAACUCCACA